CAACUACUCCCUCUGUCCCAAAUUUCUUGUCUUAGAUUUGUCUAGAUACAGAUGUAUCAAGUCACAUUUUAGUAUUAGAUACAUCCGUAUCUAGACAAAUCUAAGACAAGAAUUUUGGGACGGAGGGAGUACUUG
rnacentral:pre_miRNA from 1 species